GUGAGGAAUAUUGCGCAAUGGACGAAAGUCUGACGCAGCCAUGCCGCGUGAAGGAUUGACGGCCCUAUGGGUUGUAAACUUCUUUUGUAUAGGAAUAAACCCUCGUUCGUGAACGAGGCUGAAGGUACUAUAAGAAUAAGCACCGGCUAACUCCGUGCCAGCAGCCGCGGUAAUACGGAGGGUGCAAGCGUUAUCCGGAUUUAUUGGGUUUAAAGGGUCCGUAGGCGGAUCGUUAAGUCAGUGGUGAAAUCCUACCGCUCAACGGUAGAACUGCCAUUGAUACUGGCGAUCUUGAGUAUGUAUGAAGUUGGCGGAAUGUGUGGUGUAGCGGUGAAAUGCUUAGAUAUCACACAGAACACCGAUUGCGAAGGCAGCUGACUAAUACACAACUGACACUGAGGGACGAAAGUGUGGGGAUCAAACAGGAUUAGAUACCCCGGUAGUCC
rnacentral:rRNA from 1 species